AGUGAACGCUGGCGGUAGGCCUAACACAUGCAAGUCGAACGGCAGCUCAGUAAGAGCUUGCUCUUACGGGUGGCGAGUGGCGGACGGGUGAGGAAUACAUCGGCAUCUACUUUUUCGUGGGGGAUAACGUAGGGAAACUUACGCUAAUACCGCAUACGACCUACGGGUGAAAGCAGGGGGUCUUCGGACCUUGCGCGAUUGAAUGAGCCGAUGUCGGAUUAGCUAGUUGGCGGGGUAAAGGCCCACCAAGGCGACGAUCCGUAGCUGGUCUGAGAGGAUGAUCAGCCACACUGGAACUGAGACACGGUCCAGACUCCUACGGGAGGCAGCAGUGGGGAAUAUUGGACAAUGGGCGCAAGCCUGAUCCAGCCAUACCGCGUGGGUGAAGAAGGCCUUCGGGUUGUAAAGCCCUUUUGUUGGGAAAGAAAAGCAGCAGGUUAAUACCCCGCUGUUCUGACGGUACCCAAAGAAUAAGCACCGGCUAACUUCGUG
rnacentral:rRNA from 1 species